rnacentral:misc_RNA from 1 species
CAACCCUCAAGCCCUGCUUGGUGUUGGGGUCCCACGGCCGCCGUGGGCCCUGAAAGGAAGUGGCGGGCUCGCUACAACUCCGACCGUAGUAAUUCAUUAUCUCGCUUAGGGCGUUGGGCGGCGCUCCUGCCGUUAAAGAACCAUCUUUAACUCAA